GAAAGGAAUGCUCUGGCUAACUGGAUGAAGGCUCGGUAUUGGGAAACAAGGAUGAUGCAGCAGAGCAGGGAGAACACCUACCUGAAAUACAGACUGCGCAUGAUGAAAGGGGAGAU